UUGAGUUAAAAACACAAAGAAAAUUAUAAAGGAAGAUACCUCGAAUAUUUAGUUUUGUUAUACAAAAUGUUAACCCAAAAAAAUUUGCAAGAAUGGAAAGUUUAAUCAAAAGAAUAAAAUUUUUUCAAACAUGACGAUCUCUGCACACAUGUGAAUUAAAAGGAAGCAGCAAUUGUGGAUAACAAAACAUGAACAAUAGCGACCUUAAAUCAUGACGAUGAAAUUGAAACAAAAAAAUAAAAAAAUCAAUUCAAAAUCAUUAAAAAUAGAAUAACAAAACUAGCCAGGAUAACUAAACCCCUAAAACGCUAAACCCUAAACCAUAUGCACAUGUUGAUAAAAAGAAAA
rnacentral:lncRNA from 1 species